rnacentral:sRNA from 1 species
AUUCGAACCUGCCGCAGGUUCGGGUCGAACGUAGUGAGACAACGGAGCCGCUUGCGGCGACGGCCCGAAGGGCGAGGCGAAGCCGAGUCAUCCUGCACGACCCACCA